GCGAAAGUGGUGGAAUUGGCAGACACGUCAGACUUAGGAUCUGAUGCCGCAAGGCCUGGGGGUUCGAGUCCCCCCUUUCGCA
rnacentral:tRNA from 1 species